AAAUAAUCACAACCAAGUCUGAUCAAUUUAUCCCUCUCCAGGCCUAUAAUAUGUCCUCCACGCUUUGUAUACUAGUCAUACUGCUAUCACUUUCACUACUCUUGCCUCCAUCUUCAACCACAAGCACUCCAGUAAUUGUUAUGGAGAAAUAUAGAAAUCUUGGCCAAGUAAAACCGCCUCCAUGUCCUGCAUAUUAUCCUUCUUGUCAUGCACCAAGCGGUAGUGGUCCUCCUCAUAAUCCACCCAGGGGAAAGUACUGUCCUCAUCCAUCACACUGUUACUAGGAAGAAAGAAAGCAUUACCAGGACAACCCAAUUUAAUGGCUAUCAGAUAUGAUGACUUGUUAAUUUCUAUUGUAAUGUUUUUUAUUUACAAUCCUGCUUAAAUUUAAUGUUACAUAUAUUGUAAUGUUUACUUCUGAGCUCUAAAGCUUCCAACCUUAAUAUUUAUAUAUAUGCCAGUACACUUCAUAUAAA